UACGUAGGGUGCAAGCGUUAAUCGGAAUUACUGGGCGUAAAGCGUGCGCAGGCGGUUUUGUAAGUUUGUCGUGAAAGCCCCGGGCUCAACCUGGGAAUUGCGAUGAAGACUGCAAGGCUUGAAUCUGGCAGAGGGGGGUAGAAUUCCACGUGUAGCAGUGAAAUGCGUAGAGAUGUGGAGGAACACCGAUGGCGAAGGCAGCCCCCUGGGUCAAGAUUGACGCUCAUGCACGGAAGCGUGGGGAGCAAACAGG
rnacentral:rRNA from 1 species